rnacentral:rRNA from 1 species
UACGUAGGGUGCAAGCGUUAAUCGGAAUUACUGGGCGUAAAGCGUGCGCAGGCGGUUGUGCAAGACCGAUGUGAAAUCCCCGGGCUUAACCUGGGAAUGGCAUUGGUGACUGCACGGCUAGAGUGUGUCAGAGGGGGGUAGAAUUCCACGUGUAGCAGUGAAAUGCGUAGAGAUGUGGAGGAAUACCGAUGGUGAAGGCAGCCCCCUGGGAUAACACUGACGCUCAUGCACGAAAGCGUGGGGAGCAAACAGG